rnacentral:rRNA from 1 species
AUUGAACGCUGGCGGCAUGCUUUACACAUGCAAGUCGAACGGCAGCGCGGGCUUCGGCCUGGCGGCGAGUGGCGAACGGGUGAGUAAUACAUCGGAACGUGCCCAGUAGUGGGGGAUAGCUCGGCGAAAGCCGGAUUAAUACCGCAUACGACCUGAGGGUGAAAGCGGGGGAUCUUCGGACCUCGCGCUAUUGGAGCGGCCGAUGGCGGAUUAGCUAGUUGGUGGGGUAAAGGCCUACCAAGGCGACGAUCUGUAGCUGGUCUGAGAGGACGACCAGCCACACUGGGACUGAGACACGGCCCAGACUCCUACGGGAGGCAGCAGUGGGGAAUGUUGGACAAUGGGCGAAAGCCUGAUCCAGCAAUGCCGCGUGUGUGAUGAAGGCCUUCGGGUUGUAAAGCACUUUUGGCGGGAACGAAAAGGACUGUGCCAAUACCACGGUUCGAUGACGGUACCCGCAGAAUAAGCACCGGCUAACUACGUG